rnacentral:rRNA from 1 species
GGUAGUCCACGCCGUAAACGAUGUCGACUUGGAGGUUGUUCCCCUGAGGAGUGGCUUCCGGAGCUAACGCGUUAAGUCGACCGCCUGGGGAGUACGGCCGCAAGGUUAAAACUCAAAUGAAUUGACGGGGGCCCGCACAAGCGGUGGAGCAUGUGGUUUAAUUCGAUGCAACGCGAAGAACCUUACCUACUCUUGACAUCCAGAGAACUUAGCAGAGAUGCUUUGGUGCCUUCGGGAACUCUGAGACAGGUGCUGCAUGGCUGUCGUCAGCUCGUGUUGUGAAAUGUUGGGUUAAGUCCCGCAACGAGCGCAACCCUUAUCCUUUGUUGCCAGCGAUUCGGUCGGGAACUCAAAGGAGACUGCCAGUGAUAAACUGGAGGAAGGUGGGGAUGACGUCAAGUCAUCAUGGCCCUUACGAGUAGGGCUACACACGUGCUACAAUGGCAUAUACAAAGAGAAGCGACCUCGCGAGAGCAAGCGGAUCUCAUAAAGUAUGUCGUAGUCCGGAUUGGAGUCUGCAACUCGACUCCAUGAAGUCGGAAUCGCUAGUAAUCGUGGAUCAGAAUGCCACGGUGAAUACGUUCCCGGGCCUUGUACACACCGCCCGUCACACCAUGGGAGUGGGUUGCAAAAGAAGUAGGUAGCUUAACCUUCGGGAGGGCGCUUACCACUUUGUGAUUCAUGACUGGGGUGAAGUCGUAACAAGGUAACC